UACGUAGGGUGCAAGCGUUAAUCGGAAUUACUGGGCGUAAAGCGUGCGCAGGCGGUGAUGUAAGACCGAUGUGAAAUCCCCCGGGCUUAACCUGGGAACUGCAUUGGUGACUGCAUCGCUAGAGUAUGGCAGAGGGGGGUGGAAUUCCACGUGUAGCAGUGAAAUGCGUAGAGAUGUGGAGGAACACCGAUGGCGAAGGCAGCCCCCUGGGCCAAUACUGGACGCUCAUGCACGAAAGCGUGGGGAGCAAACAGG
rnacentral:rRNA from 1 species